CCGGGCGGCGUCAGCCCUACAAGACGGGACGGAGCGGCACAGGCAGGCCGACAGAGGCACGCGUUUCCCCGGGCUGGUGUCACCGAACUGCCGCAGCGGACUUCAGGUCGUCAGCAUGACUGAGAAGGUGAGCGCCGAGGAGAUGGAGGAGAUCAGGGAGGGCUUCCAGAAAGUGGAUGUGGACGGCAGCGGUUACAUCUGCGCCUCGGAGCUGGGCGAUCUGUUCCGG